rnacentral:rRNA from 1 species
UUACCUGGUCCGGACAUCAAAAGGAUAGACAGACUGCCAGAUCUUUCUUGAUAUGGUGAUUGGUGGUGCAUGGCCGUUCUUAGUUCGUGGAGUGAUCUGUCAGGCCAAUUCCGGUAACGAACGAGACCACUUUCUCCAUUUGACGAGCCGGAGAAGGCGUUGGUAUUGGGAAUUUUUGCUUGCAAGGGUUCCUGGUAUCAGUUCUGUAGGCAUCGUGAAGAAGCUCCGAGGGUAUUGGUUGAGAUGGCAACAUCGAGGCUGGUGCACUUUGAGUUACCUUUGCGCUCCCUCCGGCUUAACAGUGCGUGCUCGCAAGAGUGGGUAUUGUAUCAUGGAGAGACAACGGAAUAUACUAAAAAAAUCCGAGGAAGUGUGGCUAUAACAGGUCUGUGAUGCCCUUAGAUGUUCAGGGCUGCACGCGCGCUACAAU